CUCCACCCCGAGAUACAGCAUCAUUGACUACAAUGCUUGCCUCCUGGACAGCAAAGCUGAGGACUCCUUUUCAACCUUUGUGUUGCCGAGAGACGGGCGGGAACCGGACAAGCUCCGGUUUGACCUGAAUGCCUUCCGUUUCUAUGGAGAUGAGUGAUCCUUGAUGUUCAUCACCUGUCACCUGAGAGUUGCUGCAGUGGAUCAGGGAGAUUCCAGGAAUAAAGCUUGUACUUUCCAGAAGCUGCAGAAUAUCUGGACCCCAUUGGAGGAGUCAGACAGUGACAUUUGUGCCUGAUGCCUUGUGGGGAACUGUGGGAGCACAAGGGAGAUGCUGAUCCCCUUUCAGAGGAAGGAGAGACUUUGGCGCUGAAGCUGAGAGUGAAGCUGGAU